ACAAAUAUAUCUCAAAUACAUCUCAAUUCAAUCUUAAUUUAAUCCUAGUUAAAAUCUUAUUGGACUUCAUUCAAAAUUUAGGCCAAAAACUAACUAAAUCUUAAAUCCUAAAUAAACCCAAAUAAAACCCUAAAUCCUAAAUCAAAUCCUAACCAAUCCUAAACAAAAUCCUAAAUCCUAAACCAAAUCCUCACCAAAUCCUAAUUCUAAAUAAAUCCUAAUCAAAUCCUAAAUCCUAAACCAAAUCCUAACCAAUUCCUAAUUCUAAAUAAAUUCUAAUCAAAUCUUAAAUCCUAAACCAAAUCCUAACCAAAUUCUAACCCUAAAUUAAAUCCUAACCAAACUCUAAAUCCUAAACCAAAUCCUAAUCCUAAAUCAAAUCCUAAUCAAAUUCUAACCCUAAAUCAAAUCCUAACUAAAUCCUAAACCAAACCCUAAAUCCUAAACCAAAUCCUAACCAAAUCCUAAUCCUAACCAAACUCUAAACCCUAAAUCAAAUCCUAAUCAAAUCCUAAUCCUAAAUCA
rnacentral:lncRNA from 1 species